UUAAAUAUUGGAUACAUGGAAAAAUUCUCUUUAUAUGGGCACCUUGAGAAUUUGGAGUUAGUGGUGCAACCUGCCAAUAAUUAG
rnacentral:ncRNA from 1 species